GCUGAUAGUUGUCACCCGCUUCCCUUGAAAAACAGUUUGCCCUACAGCCAAAUCUGUCAAUAUCAAAAGAAUAUGCAAAAAAAACAAUCAGACUUGACAGAAAUAUGGCUGAGACUCAAAGAAAAUUCAAGGAGAGGGGGUGGGGGGUACAAAAAGGGUCAGAUUAAUACAGCCGUUGAGAAAAUUCAAAACAAACCGAGACAUGAUCUUUUUCAAGGUCAGUCUCGCAAAAUGAGCAUUCUUGCGUUCUAACUACCCGCUAUUCAAAGUGCUCUGAACAUAUUAAGGGAAUCGUUCACAAACAUCGGCACAUUCUAAGAUCCGAUGACAGUAUCGGUAAUGUGUUUUCAGCCCUUCCCUUGGUUGUAUUCUCGCGGUGCAGAAAACUCAGAGAUCAAUUGGUCAACUCUGAUUUUACCACCCAAGAUAUUCCUGCACAACGCCUAUUUGCGCCUCUACUGGAUGGAAACUACAAGUGUAAUGGCUGUGCUCAAUGCAAUGGCACUUAUAAAUGUAGAUCCUUCAAACACCCCCAAACAGGGAAAUCGAUCCCAAUCAAAGGUGUUAUUACGUGUUCCACUAAGGCAGUUAUUUAUCUUAGAACUUGUCCUUGUGGUAAAAUGAUGUGGCUAAAACAAAGCGCGAAUUAAAAGUACGAAUCUCCGAGAAUCGUAGCACCAUCAGGUGCAAAAACUCGAUUUAUCCAGUUGCGGCCCACUUUUUGGAAGCAAAUCACUCGAUUUCAUCUCUACGUUAUAUUGGCAUCGAACAUGUCACCCUCCCGAGGAGAGGGAGUGACCUCGACAAUUUAUUGUUAAAACGAGAGGCUGCCUGGAUCUUUAAUUUAAAGACCUUUGCUCCCUUUUGGUCUCACCGUAGACGUUGAUCUGAAGCCAUUCUUGUGAUUUUGCUACUCAUUGUAAACGUUUUUAGGCCUAUGUAGCCAAAUUGUAUCUAUGAUCGUAUGCUAUCCAUUCAUGUUUUUGGAAUGUUAUUUUAUAUCUGAGAAUUAACCAAUGAUAUCGGGCCACACCCGGCCAUGGUUACAGUCACCUGUGUGUGUCUAUUGACACUAUAUAAACUAGCCACCCUGCAUUGUUUGUUAUUAUACCCUGAUGAAGACAGCUUGUAUGUCGAAACGUUGGUUAUUAAAUUAUUGCGUCUCUCUGUGCGGCUCUAAUUUUUCAAGUGUUCUCCUCCGCUAGCCAGCACCUCGCCUAAAUUGGUGUUCUACUCCGCUAGCCAGCACCUCUCCUAAACAGGUGUUCUACUCUGCUAGCCAGCACCUCUCCUAAACAGGUGUUCUACUCUGCUAGCCAGCACCUCUCCUAAACAGGUGUUCUACUCUGCCAGCACCUCUCCUA
rnacentral:lncRNA from 1 species